CUGACAUACUGUAUCCGAAAGGUGUUUGAACUUAUCAUGUUAGAAACUGGAAGAAAGGAUAUACGCUUUCUUGCUCUCUCUGUCUUAGCAGAUGUCUUCUACUCUUAUUUUAAUUCCCCUGGAUUGCCAAUUAAAAAAACAAACAAACAAACAAAAAAAACCACUACAAGCAAAUACUCAGUUCUCCUGCCUGUAAGUUUACUUUCUUUUCCUUAAGAAAAAAUAAUGAAAUGUUAUAGCAAAAAUACAUCAGUGCGUAAGAAACAAGAGACCUGAUGCCAGCCAUCCUCACUCUAUGGGAUAGUACAUGUCAAAAUUUAUAAUUAAAGCAUUGGCAGUAAAUACAAGACAAGCUUUGCCUGGCUUCUUCUAUGCAGUGAGAAAUCCAGGGCAAUAUAUGCUUUCUCAGAAUUGCAGGACUAAGGACCAGCCCAAGGCAUUCUGUUACUCUAGGUGAAUUUGAGUCCCUGACCUUCGCUGAUUAAUCAUAUUGAUAUUUUAAACUCAUCCUUUCAUUUAACUACAUAUUUUGACUUUGUCAUUCAUUCAUCAUGAAUAUAUAUACAUAUAGCUAACCUUUUUCCUUUCCCUUGUUUUUUUGAUAUUCAUUAGCUUUUCUGUAAUAGGUGUAAUGUUACAUUUAUGUCCCUAUGUUGAGUCUGUUAUGCCUGGGUUGGUAAUUGAUGAAUGAUCUCCUUGUCCUUAUUUCAACCCUUGAGCACUUUUUGCAUUUUAUUUUCUCCUCUCUUGGGGAUGGGGAGUGAGAGAGCGGUUGUGGUAGAGUCUAGUUGCCCAUUUGGGUGAAACUACCACACAUUCACAAGAAAAAGUUGCACAUACUGUUGCUCAGAACAAUGAUAUAAGUUGGAUGCAUGAGAACUUCAGAGAGCUAAGCUGCUGCUGUGGAGGAGAAGGUCAGCAUGUAGGAGAGAAGCCUACAUCCACAGUGGUGGGAUGGCUGCUUCUCUGAGGAGAAGUGGCUGUGCACAAUCCCCAUUUGUACUAGUAACAGUAAGGGGAAGUCAGAUUGGUUGUCUGUUCCCAUCUCAUCCCUUCCUGGAAGAGGAACUGCUCUUUCCUAGCUAAGCCUUGGUUUCUUAUUUCUGAAACAGUGAAGCUCAGUUUUGCCAAUGCAUUGAUAAGACUUUAACCAAUAGGAGGAUCAGCAUAGUCAAGAGGAUGUUUGUUACAGAAUUAAAUCUGGUUUAUCUUUAGUUUAAUUUAACGUACUCAAGAAUCAACAUCUAGUGUCUAUGAAAGUGUUCAUUACUGUAGUAUAUACAAACCUUUCUCAAUUAAGCAACAAUUACAAUCUCUGUUUCUCUCUUGUAAGUAACAACUGAGACUUUUGCAUUUUAUUU
ensembl:lncRNA